rnacentral:rRNA from 1 species
CUCAGAACGAACGCUGGCGGCAGGCCUAACACAUGCAAGUCGAACGGAUCCUUCGGGAUUAGUGGCAGACGGGUGAGUAACGCGUGGGAAGCUACCUUGUGGUAGGGAACAACAGUUGGAAACGACUGCUAAUACCCUAUGAGCCCUAUGGGGGAAAGAUUUAUCGCCAUGAGAUGUGCCCGCGUUAGAUUAGCUAGUUGGUAAGGUAAUGGCUUACCAAGGCGACGAUCUAUAGCUGGUCUGAGAGGAUGAUCAGCCACACUGGGACUGAGACACGGCCCAGACUCCUACGGGAGGCAGCAGUGGGGAAUAUUGGACAAUGGGGGCAACCCUGAUCCAGCCAUGCCGCGUGUGUGAUGACGGCCUUAGGGUUGUAAAGCACUUUCAGCAGUGAAGAUAAUGACAUUAACUGCAGAAGAAGCCCCGGCUAACUUCGUGCCAGCAGCCGCGGUAAUACGAAGGGGGCUAGCGUUGUUCGGAAUCACUGGGCGUAAAGCGUACGUAGGCGGACUGAUCAGUCAGGGGUGAAAUCCCGGGGCUCAACCCCGGAACUGCCUUUGAUACUGUCAGUCUUGAGAUCGAGAGAGGUGAGUGGAACUCCGAGUGUAGAGGUGAAAUUCGUAGAUAUUCGGAAGAACACCAGUGGCGAAGGCGGCUCACUGGCUCGAUAC